UGUUUGUUUUUGUGAAGGCUGGCUGAAAGAGGAGAUGUGUAAGAACUUGCUUGAUUAUUUGCCACUUGGAGUACUUGCUGAACUGGGGUUUAUAAUUUCUGGAACAUUUAUGAAUCAUUAGGUGCCUAACUUGGCCAUCACACCUGCUGAAAGGGAAGGCAGCUAGCACCCCACUGGGAUAAGUUCUCUCCUAUUUGUCUUCCUUAUGCUGCUCCUAAAGCCCUCCUCAACUGUUAAACCAGCAUCCUUCAAAAAAUCGAAGAUUGAAGAACAGAAGUGACUUGCCAAGGUGAAAAAAGUAAGAAUAGAAGAAGCUUACCUAAAGCCAUGGGGAGGGCCUGUAGGAUCCGAGGUCUCGUGAGGUCUUCCAGCCUCUGGCUCCACACUGAGCCACUGCACGGAAAUGAGGAACACCCAGGCAGUACCUGUGCCACCAGCACCUCCCAGGACAGAGCUGCUCCUUCCUUGCCGACUACGUGAGGGGAGUAAGAGGAGGAGCUGCAGCCUGCCUUCCCACAUACCGAUGCAGGGCUGGCCACCUGAGGAGGACAUGGCUGGUUGGACCUGUUGUGGACCGUUGCUUCAAAUGAAUCUGCUACCAGGAAUAAGGAACCAGAAUGCAGACAGGCCAGGCCGUGUGUAAACGCCCUCCAACCGAAGACUUUAAAAUCCAUAAGCUUUAGAGUGGCCACUUUCUACAGACGCCCAGAGAAGCAGAGAAAGCCAUUCUACAGGGAAGGAAGAAUGAAGUAGACAGACAGAGGCCGAAAUGAGAAGGCAAUGGCCUUUGACUGACAGACAGUUAUGGCUGCCUUAAUUUCUCAUAAUCUUCCCAUUCCCAGUUAGAGUCUCUCACGAGAUCCAGCUGCGUUUCCUGUCACUGGGUCCUGUCUCACAAACUCCGCAUUACAGCCAAAACUAGCUCCAACAUGUCUGUCUCCUGCAACCAAAACCUUAAAUCAAAUAACCCUAUAAGAGCCAACAACCAACACAUAAGGGAACUGAGGAGUCAAUCAAAAUGAAAAUACAGAAGGGAGAGACUCUGGUAAGGCACAGGUUGACACAUGGAAAGAAUCAUCUCCCACAUGUGUGUAGUGUCUUCCAGUUCACAAGGCUCUGGGAUGUGAUUCCAUCAGUUCAGUGCUGCUCAUCUGAGGUUUGUCUGCCCAGCACCCUGCCUCAUGCUGGUGAGCCAUGCCUCCAUUUCUCACUCCAACCAUCUUACCCCAUCCUCAGCCACAGUGCUUUGGGCACAGGACCCAAGUCAGGACAAUCCGCAUCCUGCUGAUAUUGUUCAAGCUGAUUCUGAAGAAAGAGGAAAAGUUCCCCUUGCUUUGGCAGCAGCCAAGGGGCAGAGCUGAAGGCUAGUUCAAAGUGGGACUUGGUCCCCUGCACAACAUUCAAUAGUCAUAACAAAACCUUGCAUACAUCUGCUCCCUGAAUAUGUACUCCCCACCCACUGCUGCCAGGUGCUACGUCAGACCCUGAGGGUACAGAGAAUUGUUGCCAAGACCAAUUAAAGACAAGACCUCAUAUGUGGGUGUGCUUUGUGAACUGCUAAACCUCAUGCAAAUAUAAGAUGGAACUCUUAUUACACAUAAAGGACAGCAUGUGAUCUAAGAGACGGCAGCACAAAACCAUCCAAAUAUCUCUAAGGAUGGCCAGGGUCCUAAACCUUUUGGAUACUCCAACUGGCAGGGGCCAAAUGCAAACACCUCCGUGUGGCAAAUGGAGAGACAGAAGUAAUGAUGGAAGCCUGUAGACCAAACUUAGGCCAAAAAUUAGUUCCCAGAAUCCAUGUCCAACACGGCCUUGGAACGUCUCUGAUGCCACAACGGAAAGAAGAGCCGGCCCAUCCAAGAGGGUAUGGACUUGCCUAGCAGGGUAGGAAGGAGGCAACACUUUGAAGUGCCCACCUUUGCCAGUCUCCAUGCCAGGUGCUUUGUAUAUGUUAUGUUUUCAUCCCUUUAAUAACCAUGGGAACCUGACAACCAACAAAUCAGAGGUUUGAAGGUGGGGGUAACAUGUUAAGGACACGAUGUCAGAAAGGGGCAGGGCCUUGGCUUUCUCCAGCUCAGCUGACUGCCUCCUGCAAGGUGGGGGGCUUGCUCUGAAGUCGCACGGGCUGGCCUCUUGAACCUGUUUCUAGCCAGGAGUUCAAACUGUGGGAAAGAGCGAAAGCCUUUGUCUCUUGAAGCAAAGCCUGUUUCUUUAAUUCUGGGAUUGACCUGAGGCCCUUUCUGGGGUUAAUAUGCUGGAGGGCCUGAUGUGGUUGAUCAGAGAAAGUUGCAGGCUGCAGAGGCCAGGAUUGCAAGCCUUAGCGCAGAAAGAAACCUCUAGCUGAGGACAAAGGGACACAGAGGAGAGGCCUUCCUAUAAGCCCCAGAAUGACAGUGGUUUCCUUAAGGAGUUCCAGAGUAGGACCUGGGAACUGAGUGUUGGCAACACUGCCAGGCCAGGAGAAGGUUGUGUGUGUGUGUGUGUACGUGUGUGCGUGCGGUGAUUGAUCUGGGGUCAGACGUACCACGGAACUUCUUGAUUUAUUUGCAGCCAGAGAAGACUCCAUCCCUCCAGAUCUAUGUAAACAUGUUUCAAGAGUGACUGUGGUCCUUCAGUAAAGGUGCACCACCCCUCAUCCUGAUGGAUGAUGCGAAGAAGUCCUCCAUGUGAGGUGUGGGCUCAAUGAGAAGGGAGCCGAGUCUGGAAGAAACCAAGGCAUGGCCCAAGCGUAACCUCUUUUCCUGUGGGGAAGGUUUUCCCAUCCAUGAAAUGGGAAUGAUGACAGCACUUGAUAAUGCCAGCCAAGCUUUUAGUAGAGUGACCUGAGCUGAUAGCAUGGCUCUUCCAAAAUUUUCUGUAUGUUCGUGUUAUUUUUACUCAUUUUUUAGAAGUGUCAUAUGUUUGUGGGGAAUGAAAUACUUGGUCACCAUGUUGUGGCCUUCCUCUUCCUUCCUGUUGGUGCUUUCUGUUCUGAUGUUAAUAGAGCGGCCUGACUCUCUUCUAAUUAGGGCUUGACUAUGUUCUUUCAUCCUUUUACUGUCGACUUUUCUGUUGAAUAUUUUAGGCAUGUUUCUUAGAAAUAGCCCUAAACCAGAUCUUAAAAUACAAUCUGACAAUCUGUCUUUCAACCAGGAAGUUUAGUUCAUGUUUAUUUUUUGUACUCUUUCAGAUAUGUGGACUUGCUUUUCUACCUUAAUUUUUAAUUUCCAUUUUAGCCCUUUUUCAAUGCUUAUUUCUCCUUUCUUGCCAUAUUUUUUGGGGGGCAGAGGUUAUUGUUUUUUAUUCCAAUCUCCCUCCCCUACUGGUUACAUCCUCUGUUGCAUACUCUGUUUCUGCUCUUUUAGCAGUUACUAUUGAAAUUUUACCACGAAUAUUUUCCUUUUCAGACUCUAAAGGUAAUAAAUAUCUAAACUUCCUUCCCCCAAAAUACGUGGAUCUAUCAGCGUUUUUAACUUCAAUCAUCUCCCUCUUAACCCAUGUGUUAUUGUUGAGUGGCAUUUUAGUUCUCCUUUCUGUAAACCCACAUUUAGAUUUUUUUGCAGACAGGACAAGUUUUGUUUAGAUUUUCCUACAUGUUUACUGUUUUACUGGCUCGUCCUUACUUACAUCCUAGAUCUCUUGAGAUAGGCAGAACAAUGGUUCCCCAAAGAUGUCUACAUCCUAUUCCCCAGAGCCUGUGAAUAUGUUAUGUUUCCUGGCAAAGGGGGAAUUAAGGUUACAGAUGGAGCCAAGGCUGCUAAUCAGCUGACCUUAAAAUGGGGAGAUUAUGCUGGAUUAUCUGGGUGGACCCAGUCUCAUCAGGAGGGAACUUCAAAGUGGAAGAGGGAGACAAGAAGAGGAGUCAGAGGGAGAUGACGCCAGAAGGAAUCGACUACCAUUGCUGGCUUUGAAGAUGGAGGAAGGGGCCACUAGCCAAGGAAUGCAGACAGCCUUUAGAAGGUAGAAAAAGCAAGGAAGCAGAUUCUUUCCUAGAACCUCCAGCAGCCCUGCUAACACCUCGAUUCUAGCCCAGUAAGACUUGUGUAAGAAUUCUGAUCUACAGCAAUGGAAGAUAAUAAUUUCGUGUUGCUCUGAGCCACUUAGGGUUGUGGUAAUUUGUUAUAGCAGCUAAUAAAAAACUAGUAUACCUUCUUCCUUGGAUUAUUUUCUUUCUUUUUA